UACGUAGGGGGCAAGCGUUGUCCGGAUUUAUUGGGCGUAAAGAGCGCGCAGGCGGCUGGUCAAGUCCGAUGUGAAAGCUCCCGGCUUAACUGGGAAAUUGCAUCGGAAACUGAUCGGCUUGAAGGUGGGAGAGGGUAGUGGAAUUCCCGGUGUAGUGGUGAAAUGCGUAGAUAUCGGGAGGAACACCAGUGGCGAAGGCGACUACCUGGCCCACUCUUGACGCUGAGGCGCGAAAGCUAGGGGAGCGAACGGG
rnacentral:rRNA from 1 species